rnacentral:rRNA from 1 species
AUUGAACGCUGGCGGCAGGCUUAACACAUGCAAGUCGAACGAGUGGCGGACGGGUGAGUAAUGUAUGGGGAUCUGCCCGAUAGAGGGGGAUAACUACUGGAAACGGUGGCUAAUACCGCAUACUAUCGGAUGAACCCAUAUGGGAUUAGCUAGUAGGUGGGGUAAAGGCUCACCUAGGCGACGAUCUCUAGCUGGUCUGAGAGGAUGAUUAGCCACACUGGGCUUCGGACACGGACCAGACUCCUACGGGAGGCAGCAGUGGAGAAUAUUGCACAUGGGGCGCAAGCCUCAUGCAGCCAUGCCGCUUGUAUGAAGAAGGCCUUAGGGUUGUAAAGUACUUUCAGCGGGGAGGCGUUACCCGCAGAAGAAGCACCGGCCAACUCCGUGCCAGCAGCCGCGGUAAUAC